GUCGCUGUUUCGACCUCCACUGGCGCAUCUUGGCGGAAAAAGGGAACAUGCAAGUUUCGGCCGGUGACCCGCCGCCCACUCUCGCGGGAAUCUCGGGUCCCGCGAAGCACCGAAUUGCUUUACGGCUUUACAGACCCACAAAUACGGAACCGGCUCGAUAUAAACACAAGUAGCGAAGGUAUUGUUACAUUCGUCAUGGAUCAGCCGACUAAAAAGACUCAGAGAAACCCAAUGUCGGAGAAACAGAAGAAGAGAAAAGGGAGAGCGACAGAGAGGCCAGAUACGAGUAAACGUUGGGCGAGCUGCUCAGGAAUAGUGUGAACUGAAAGAAAAAGAAGACUGCAAAUCGGAUGCCGACUGUUGCUCUUGAAAUUGACAUUGCUGACAAGUGAAGAUGCCAGACUUUUGUGCAGCCUACGGAUGCGUUAAUCUGCGAACUCUCGAAACGAGAACCCGUGGGAUCACCUUUCACCUGUAGGAUAUUACAAUAUUAUGACUUAUUUUUAGGAUAAUCGUUAUUCUAAAAGUAAUUGUUACUUAGCGGAAGUAUAUACAAUACAGCUCCUUUUACACAGGAACAGCGGGGAUAGUAUUGCUAGAUUGUUGUUGACACAAGGCUUUUUAGAAUAUGUUUGUUAACACAAUCACUGAAUGGAAUUUUGGACACCUUUUUAUUGUGUUUUUAGUGCGGUUAAUCUUAAAUACUGAUUGAAAAUGUUGACAAUUAUUAAUAUAUCUGGGUGCAUUUCUCAAUUUUUUAAGGUUUCCCAAAGCCAGAGCGAUGAGGAUAAAGUAGGAAAUUGCCCUAAGAAGGGACGGUUUUGCUGCCUCUGACAGGACACUGCUCUGCAGUGACCACUUCAGGAGUGAGAACUUUGACAGGAUGGGGCAGAAUGUCUGGCUUAAAGAUGGUGUUGUGCCAACCCUUUUCAACUUUCCAGCUCAUCUUCAAAGUUCUGUAGCAACAAGAAGCACAACCACAGCUAAAAGAGCGGAAGACAACCUUGCAAUGGACUUGAUGCCUGGUGUUGGAGCUACUGGAGAGAGGAGAUUGAGCCGCAAGCGGCAGGCCACUGACGACCACUUGUAUGCAUUGCCUGUUUGCCCUACGGCUAUGAAGGCCAAACUUGAAGAAGCCUCAGCGAGAGUGAGGAAACAGGGCCAAGAACAACAUGCAGGCUGUUCUGGAGGAACUGAAGGAGAAAAACCUCAUCAACGAAGAGCUGAAAGACAAGCUUGA
rnacentral:lncRNA from 1 species